rnacentral:tRNA from 1 species
GUCCCAGUAGCGUAGUGGCUAGCGCACGGACCCCGACUAGGCGCGAGACACGGGUUCAAAUCCUGUCUGAGGUA